UUCCCAGUGUAGCGGUGAAAUGCGUAGAUAUUGGGAAGAACAUCGGUGGCGAAGGUGUGCUACUGGACNGUAACUGACACUCAGGGACGAAAGCUAGGGGAGCGAAAGGGAUUAGAUACCCCUGUAGUCCUAGCUGUAAACGAUGGAAACUAGGUGUGGCUUGUAUCGACCCGAGCCGUGCCGUGGCUAACGCGUUAAGUUUCCCGCCUGGGGAGUACGCACGCAAGUGUGAAACUCAAAGGAAUUGACGGGGGCCCGCACAAGCGGUGGAGUAUGUGGUUUAAUUCGAUGCAACGCGAAGAACCUUACCAGGGCUUGACAUGUCGCGAAUCUCGGUGAAAGCUGAGAGUGCCUUCGGGAGCGCGAACACAGGUGGUGCAUGGCUGUCGUCAGCUCGUGUCGUGAGAUGUUGGGUUAAGUCCCGCAACGAGCGCAACCCUUAUUUUUAGUUGCCAGCAUUAAGAUGGGCACUCUAGAAAGACUGCCGGUGACAAACCGGAGGAAGGUGAGGACGACGUCAAGUCAGCAUGCCCCUUACGCCCUGGGCUACACACGUACUACAAUGGUUGGGACAAAGGGCAGCGACUCCGCAAGGAAUAGCGAAUCUCAUCAAACCCAGCCUCAGUUCAGAUUGCAGGCUGCAACUCGCCUGCAUGAAGGAGGAAUCGCUAGUAAUCGCAGGUCAGCAUACUGCGGUGAAUUCGUUCCCGGGCCUUGUACACACCGCCCGUCACACCAUGGAAGCUGGUCACGCCCGAAGUAGUUACCCUAACCUUUCGAGGAGGGGGAUUCCUAAGGCAGGGCUAGUGACUGGGGUGAAGUCGUAACAAGGUAGCC
rnacentral:rRNA from 1 species